CUUUAAUCGCACCUAUUUAAAGAUGCAAGAAACACUUCCUGAUUCACAGAACACAACCUACAUGCUCCUGGGAGGUUUAAUCGUUUUCCUGAUCAUGGUCAUCGUUGCCUUGGUUUUCAAAAUCAGAAGCUUUCACACAGCUCAAGAUAAGACACUGAUUUCUCAGAACA